rnacentral:rRNA from 1 species
GGGUUUGUGCCGUCUACUGCUGACACUUCGUUAUUUCUUCUACAGAAGCCAGAAGUCACUAUGUAUCUUUUGGUAUAUGUCGAUGAUAUUAUCCUUGUCAGCUCUUCUCAGUAUGGUGCUGAUGCUCUUGUCUGCUCUCUUGGUGCUGAUUUUGCGGUCAAAGAUCUUGGGAAGCUUCACUACUUUCUUGGAGUUGAGGUCACUUCUCGUGCUACUGGUCUUGUCCUUACGCAGAAGAAGUACUCCUUGGAGUUGUUACAGAGAGCUGGCAUGCUGAAGUGCAAACCGACCACCACACCCAUGUCAUCUACCGACAAGAUAACAGCUGUUGAUGGUGAGCUUUUGUCUCCUGCGGAUGCCACAGAGUACAGGAGCAUUGUUGGUGGACUUCAGUACUUGACGAUCACGAGACAAGAUAUCUCUUAUGUUGUUAACAGGGUCUGUCAGUAUCUUCAGGCUCCCAGAGAUACUCAUUGGGCUGCUGUUAAACGCAUUCUUCGUUAUGUUCAGUUCACCCUGACAUUUGGUAUGCAUAUUCGGCCGACUUCCUCUCGGGUCCUUUCGGCCUUCUCUGAUGCAGAUUGGGCUGGUAGCCCAGAUGACAGGCGAUCCACGGGGGGUUAUGCAGUAUUCUUUGGCUCUAAUUUGAUCGCCUGGAGUGCUCGAAAACAGGCUACUGUGUCACGUAGCAGUACUGAAGCUGAGUACAAGGCUGUGGCUAAUGCUACUGCAGAGAUUAUU